UACGUAGGCAGCAAGCGUUGUUCGGAGUUACUGGGCGUAAAGGGUGUGUAGGCGGUUGCUUAAGUUUGGUGUGAAAUCUCCCGGCUCAACUGGGAGGGUGCGCCGAAUACUGAGUGGCUAGAGUGCGGGAGAGGAAAGUGGAAUUCCUGGUGUAGCGGUGAAAUGCGUAGAUAUCAGGAGGAACACCGGUGGUGUAGACGGCUUUCUGGACCGUAACUGACGCUGAGACACGAAAGCGUGGGUAGCAAACAGG
rnacentral:rRNA from 1 species